UGGCGGAAUUGGUAAACGCACCAGGUUUAGGCUCUGGCAAAAACGAGACGUAGCUGUCAUAGGUUCGAAUCCUAU
rnacentral:tRNA from 1 species